rnacentral:rRNA from 1 species
GACGAACGCUGGCGGCGUGCCUAACACAUGCAAGUCAAAGUCUGAGUGACUUCGGUUACAAGGACUUGGCGCAAGGGUGAGUAAGGCAUAGGUAAUCUGCCUUUUGGUCUGGGAUAACCCCGAGAAAUCGGGAACAAUACCAGAUGAUGCAGCGGAACCGCAUGGUUAUGUUGUUAAAGAUUUAUCGCCAAAAGAUGAGCCUAUGUUCCAUCAGGUAGUUGGUAGGGUAACGGCCUACCAAGCUUACGACGGAUAGCUGGUCUGAGAGGAUGAUCAGCCACAGUGGAACUGAGACACGGUCCAGACUCCUACGGGAGGCAGCAGUGAGGAAUAUUGCGCAAUGGGCGAAAGCCUGACGCAGCAACGCCGCGGGGAUGAUGAAGUUCUUCGGAAUGUAAAAUCCUUUUGCAGGGGACGAAUAGGUCGGCUUGCCGGCUGUGACGGUACCCUGCGAAUAAGCCACGGCUAACUCUGUGCCAGCAGCCGCCGUAAUAC